GGCGGGUCUCUGCGCAUGGUGGAACGGUGAAUCUGGUCAGGUCGGGAACGAAGCAGCCACAGCCAAUAUCUGCGAGUGCCGCAGGUCAGGCUCGCCACU
rnacentral:SRP_RNA from 1 species